AGAAAAAGGUUGCAAGAGAGUGUACACUUUGGUCAACUUGACCGAAUUAAUCAAGCGGGGGUUUUGAUUUUUCACUGAGCGGGUGGUUUUUAGUACCAAAUUGUUUCUAACAGCAAAACUCCCUCAUUUCUUUCAUUUCAUCAUUUCAAUCGUCUCUCUCCCAAGUAUCUCUAUUAUUUCUCCAUCUCUCUCUCAUAUCUCUUGUUUCGUUUAUCUAUCUCAAGCAUCCUGUAUCGAACCCACUGCACUCCACUCCAUUGCUCACACUCCCUUCCAUUGGUUACUAUCUACUUCACUUGAUUGAAUUACUCUGGUUAGGGAUCUCUGUAUCUUUCUGAAAUUGGAGAGAGGCAGAUGCCAACAACAGUGAAAGCUCCACAGAUUCAAUCCUGGUACUAUUGCUCUUUGUGUGAUUCCUAAAUUCCAGAAGACUUGGAACCUUCUCAUUCCUGCCAUUCUGUUUAUCCGCACAUUAAAUUAGCUCUACUUUUUGUUUAAAUUUCUGUUUAUUUCUGUAUUUGAUUUGGUAUUCGGAUAUAAUUGUUAGUAGUAUUUGACUAUGAAAGUGUGAAUGGAUAGUAAUUAAAGUUUAAAUGAUGUGGUAAAUCUUUCUGUUUACUAUUUUAUAUAUUUAAUGCUUUGUGUGCGUAGUAUUGGAUUCAUGUGGAAAGGUUUGGAUCUUAUUAUAUUAGGUUUGUGUGGCAAUGUGGUAAGGAUUUUAGCAGAAGUAUGGUUAAGUUGCUCAGUGCCACUUUGUCAUGGUUGUUUACUGUAGUUAGCGAGCUAGAGGUCGGCCAAUCUACAUAUCUUUUGCAAAACCAAGUGGUUAUUAUAGGAGCUAAUGUAGACCAUCAGCAUCAGGAAAGAACUGCAAUCGAUAUUAACUUGGUCUGGUUACUACUUCAUCUGUUAAUAAGAGAUCUGGUAUGCCUUUUAGUCCCAUUCCUGAAAAAUUAACAUAUGUAUUGCUGUUUUAGUAACAAUGGUACUGCCUCUUAUGAUUUUAGUAUUAUAAAAAAAUUAUUGGCCACUAUUUAUCUGAAAUUAGUUAAGACUUUGAUGUAGAUGAAUUCACUGACCACAAGUCUUUUCUUUAUUUAUUUGCAGAGGUAAUCAGCUGCCGCUUACUUUCUUUCUACUAUAUAUGUAGAUUUUUUCUACAUGGCCUAAUCGGAUAAGAUGGCAGUGAUCAUCAACAUAUCAUUUGUUUAGUCAUUUCAAAUUUAUAAUUUGCAUAGUUUUGAGAAAUUCAUGAGAAGAUUUCUGCAACAGAAUUUGUCUGCUACAGAUAUGUGAUUAUGUAGUAUGUUGUGAAGAGAAAGGCUGUGGGCAUCUGGGGAUGCAAAGAUUGUGGCAAAUUCAAAGCAUGCGGUGCUUAUACCUUAAACACUGCUGUUGCAGUGACAGUUAGGAGCACUAUCAGUUUUAUAUGUUGAGAUAUCUUGGUCUGGUGUUGGAAUCCAGUUGAACAUAUGUGACCUGGAGCUUCCCGGUCGAUUAUUGUGUAUAAAAAUUUAGAAUUGGGUCAAACACUCAAGGGAUGAAAUAAAUCUCAUCGUCAUGGUGUUUAGAGGAUAGGUCCGACUUCCUCCAUGACACAGGGACAUCAAUAUUUCUUGCAAGUGAGGGCAGCAGAGAGUAGUAGGACGCUAGUGCAGUAGCUUGUCUGGUUAAAACAGGCUUCCGUCACAAUAAUACUUUUAUAUGGAAUUGCAAACUGCCCUUGCUAUCCUAGACGAGGACAACUGCUUAGAAGUGCACAGUUCAAGUCAGUGCCCUGAAUAUGCUCACAAAACGAUAGCAGUUUGUCUUGGUAUUACUGAAACUAGUGUUCGUGUCAAAGAAUUUUUAUCGACGUAUAGGUAACAACACAUUUCAUCACUUGGCAUACAAACAACAUCAAAUGUGGUUGAAGAUGGUGUUUCUGCGGUAAAAAAACAGUGCAGAAAGCAAGAAGACACAAAAAUGAAAAUCUAGUCGUCCAUGAACCAACAAGAUUUGGUUGUGUAUUUUGACUUUUGAUGAUUGUAUGAUAUAUAAGUUUUUGUCUUUAAAGUUGAUCUUGGUGGGAUGUUUUGACUUGUUCUUUAGUAUUUUAACUUUUACUAAUUGAUUGUGGGAAUAGAAGGGUUUGUAAUACAUAUAAAA